AUUGAACGCUGGCGGCAGGCCUAACACAUGCAAGUCGAACGAGUGGCGGACGGGUGAGUAAUGUCUGGGAAACUGCCUGAUGGAGGGGGAUAACUACUGGAAACGGUAGCUAAUACCGCAUACCAUCGGAUGUGCCCAGAUGGGAUUAGCUAGUAGGUGGGGUAACGGCUCACCUAGGCGACGAUCCCUAGCUGGUCUGAGAGGAUGACCAGCCACACUGGAACUGAGACACGGUCCAGACUCCUACGGGAGGCAGCAGUGGGGAAUAUUGCGCAAUGGGCGCAAGCCUGAUGGAGCCAUGCCGCGUGUGUGAAGAAGGCCUUCGGGUUGUAAAGUACUUUCAGCGGGGAGGCGGUACCCGCAGAGGAAGCACCGGCUAACUACGUGCCAGCAGCCGCGGUAAUAC
rnacentral:rRNA from 1 species